GUGCGGUGGUCCCACCUGACCCCAUGCCGAACUCAGAAGUGAAACGCCGUAGCGCCGAUGGUAGUGUGGGGUCUCCCCAUGUGAGAGUAGGG
rnacentral:rRNA from 1 species